rnacentral:rRNA from 1 species
AAGCCAGACUCCUACGGGAGGCAGCAGUGGGGAAUAUUGCACAAUGGGGGAAACCCUGAUGCAGCAACGCCGCGUGAGUGAAGAAGUAUUUCGGUCUGUAAAGCUCUAUCAGCAGGGAAGAAGAUGACGGUACCUGACCAAGAAGCCCCGGCUAACUACGUGCCAGCAGCCGCGGUAAUACGUAGGGGGCAAGCGUUAUCCGGAUUUACUGGGUGUAAAGGGAGCGCAGACGGCAGUGCAAGUCUGGAGUGAAAGCCCGGGGCCCAACCCCGGAACUGCUCUGGAAACUGUGCGGCUAGAGUACUGGAGGGGCAGGCGGAAUUCCUAGUGUAGCGGUGAAAUGCGUAGAUAUUAGGAGGAACACCAGUGGCGAAGGCGGCCUGCUGGACAGUAACUGACGUUGAGGCUCGAAAGCGUGGGGAGCAAACAGGAUUAGAUACCCCCGUACAA